AGAGUUUGAUCCUGGCUCAGGAUGAACGCUGGCGGCGUGCCUAACACAUGCAAGUCGAACGAAGCUUGACGGAUGAUUUCUUCGGAAUGAAACCAGAUAUGACUUAGUGGCGGACGGGUGAGUAACACGUGAGCAACCUGCCUUUCAGAGGGGGAUAACGGCUGGAAACGGUCGCUAAUACCGCAUGAUGUGUUCGGAUGGCAUCAUCUGAACAUCAAAGAUUUAUCGCUGAAAGAUGGGCUCGCGUCUGAUUAGAUAGUUGGUGGGGUAACGGCCUACCAAGUCUGCGAUCAGUAGCCGGACUGAGAGGUUGAACGGCCACAUUGGGACUGAGAUACGGCCCAGACUCCUACGGGAGGCAGCAGUGGGGAAUAUUGCACAAUGGGGGAAACCCUGAUGCAGCAACGCCGCGUGAAGGAUGACGGUUUUCGGAUUGUAAACUUCUUUUCUUAGUGACGAAGACAGUGACGGUAGCUAAGGAAUAAGCAUCGGCUAACUACGUGCCAGCAGCCGCGGUAAUACGUAGGAUGCAAGCGUUAUCCGGAUUUACUGGGUGUAAAGGGAGCGCAGGCGGGACUGCAAGUUGGAUGUGAAAUACCGUGGCUUAACCACGGAACUGCAUCCAAAACUGUAGUUCUUGAGUGAAGUAGAGGCAAGCGGAAUUCCGAGUGUAGCGGUGAAAUGCGUAGAUAUUCGGAGGAACACCAGUGGCGAAGGCGGCUUGCUGGGCUUUAACUGACGCUGAGGCUCGAAAGUGUGGGGAGCAAACAGGAUUAGAUACCCUGGUAGUCCACACUGUAAACG
rnacentral:rRNA from 1 species